CAGGCUUAACACAUGCAAGUCGAGGGGCAGCAUGGUCUUAGCUUGCUAAGGCCGAUGGCGACCGGCGCACGGGUGAGUAACACGUAUCCAACCUGCCGUCUACUCUUGGACAGCCUUCUGAAAGGAAGAUUAAUACAAGAUGGCAUCAUGAGUCCGCAUGUUCACAUGAUUAAAGGUAUUCCGGUAGACGAUGGGGAUGCGUUCCAUUAGAUAGUAGGCGGGGUAACGGCCCACCUAGUCUUCGAUGGAUAGGGGUUCUGAGAGGAAGGUCCCCCACAUUGGAACUGAGACACGGUCCAAACUCCUACGGGAGGCAGCAGUGAGGAAUAUUGGUCAAUGGGCGAGAGCCUGAACCAGCCAAGUAGCGUGAAGGAUGACUGCCCUAUGGGUUGUAAACUUCUUUUAUAAAGGAAUAAAGUCGGGUAUGGAUACCCGUUUGCAUGUACUUUAUGAAUAAGGAUCGGCUAACUCCGUGCCAGCAGCCGCGGUAAUACGGAGGAUCCGAGCGUUAUCCGGAUUUAUUGGGUUUAAAGGGAGCGUAGAUGGAUGUUUAAGUCAGUUGUGAAAGUUUGCGGCUCAACCGUAAAAUUGCAGUUGAUACUGGAUAUCUUGAGUGCAGUUGAGGCAGGCGGAAUUCGUGGUGUAGCGGUGAAAUGCUUAGAUAUCACGAAGAACUCCGAUUGCGAAGGCAGCCUGCUAAGCUGCAACUGACAUUGAGGCUCGAAAGUGUGGGUAUCAAACAGGAUUAGAUACCCUGGUAGUCCACACGGUAAACGAUGAAUACUCGCUGUUUGCGAUAUACUGCAAGCGGCCAAGCGAAAGCGUUAAGUAUUCCACCUGGGGAGUACGCCGGCAACGGUGAAACUCAAAGGAAUUGACGGGGGCCCGCACAAGCGGAGGAACAUGUGGUUUAAUUCGAUGAUACGCGAGGAACCUUACCCGGGCUUAAAUUGCAGAUGAAUUACGGUGAAAGCCGUAAGCCGCAAGGCAUCUGUGAAGGUGCUGCAUGGUUGUCGUCAGCUCGUGCCGUGAGGUGUCGGCUUAAGUGCCAUAACGAGCGCAACCCUUGUUGUCAGUUACUAACAGGUUCCGCUGAGGACUCUGACAAGACUGCCAUCGUAAGAUGUGAGGAAGGUGGGGAUGACGUCAAAUCAGCACGGCCCUUACGUCCGGGGCUACACACGUGUUACAAUGGGGGGUACAGAGGGCCGCUACCACGCGAGUGGAUGCCAAUCCCCAAAACCUCUCUCAGUUCGGACUGGAGUCUGCAACCCGACUCCACGAAGCUGGAUUCGCUAGUAAUCGCGCAUCAGCCACGGCGCGGUGAAUACGUUCCCGGGCCUUGUACACACCGCCCGUCAAGCCAUGGGAGCCGGGGGUACCUGAAGUGCGUAACCGCGAGGAGCGCCCUAGGGUAAAACUGGUGACUGGGGCUAAGUCAUAACA
rnacentral:rRNA from 2 species